rnacentral:rRNA from 1 species
UGAGGGAAGAAAAAUCCGGAUGUAAAUAAUGUUCGGACGUGACGGUACCUCACAAGAAAGCACCGGCUAACUUAGUGCCAGCAGCCGCGGUAAUACUAGGGGUGCUAGCGUUGUCCGGAAUCACUGGGCGUAAAGGGUCCGUAGGCGUUUUGCUAAGUUGAUUGUUAAAUCCAUCGGCUCAACCGAUGAUCUGCAAUCAAAACUGGUAGAAUAGAGUUCGAGAGAGGAAAGUGGAAUUCCUGGUGUAGCGGUGACAUGCGUAGAUAUCAGGAGGAACACCAAUGGCGAAGGCAGCUUUCUGGCUCGAUACUGACGCUGAGGGACGAAAGCGUGGGGAGCGAACAGGAUUAGAUACCCUGGUAGUCCACGCCGUAAACGAUGAGUACUUGAUGAUGGAGGAUUCGACCCCUUCGUUGUCGUAGCUAACGCGAUAAGUACUCCGCCUGGGGACUACGAGCGCAAGGUUG